GAGAGAGAGAAACAUCAAUGAUGAGAGAGAAUCAUUGAUCGACUGCCUCCUGAACGCCCCCUGCUGGGGAUCGAGCCUGCAACCCAAGCAUGUGCCCUUGACUGGAAUCAAACCCGGGACCCUUCAGUUCGCAGGCCAACGCUCUAUCCACUGAGCCAAACCAGCCAGGGCCUAGUUCAUUUACUUUUUGUUUUAUUUUGAAUUUAUUGCUAUGAAGAUGAGAGCAUUACACCAUUACCCUCUUUAUAUCACUUAUUUGGCAUUAUGGUAUGCAUUCUGAAGCAGGUAAAUCUUGUUUGCUCAUAAGAACUGUGUACAUCCUUUCUUCUUAGCCAAUAGGCAGGGCUAUGUUUGUGAGGAAACGAAAUUAAGACUUGGUAUUUUCUUAUUAAAAAAUGUGGAUCCCGACCCAUUUGAGCUUUCAGAUGAAAUCCAGCUCUGGUCAACACCUGGAUUGCAGCCCCUAGAGAGACCUUGCAGAAGGCCCAGGUAAGCCAUGCCCCGGUUCCUGGUCUGUGGAAACUGAGAUACCACACGUUUUAAGCCACUGUUUGUGGUGGUGUGUUCUGCAGCAGUAGCUGACUAAUCUAUACUAGUAUAUAUAAAACCUAAUAUGCAAAUAGUCCGAACGGUGGAACAACUGAACAACCGAAUAUCUGAACAACCGGUCGCUAUGACGUGCGCUGAUCAACAGGGGGCACACGUGGAACAUGGUGGGUGUCGGCUGUGGCAGGAUGGUGGAGCAGGUGAGCGGGAGGUGCCAGACCAAGGCGGGGUGCCGGUCACUGUCAUCUGGGCGAGCCUCUGCUGGUUACUGAUAAUUCUUUGCUUGCACCUGGUGCUGACACUGGCCCCGCUUGCACUGCAGCUGGUGCCAGAGCCACUGCUCGCACCCGCUACCGGCGCCCAGAGCCACUGCUUGCACCUGCUGCCGGCCCCUGAGGGCUUCUCCACCUGCCCCUCGCACAUGUUGAUGGUGCGGCCCCAGUUGCUCCGCGCCAUCAGCAGGUGGGAGCGGAGGCAACAGGAGCAGGGCUGCCAGCAGAUAGAGGACUGGGGGCUGCAGCGGGAGGGGCUGGGCGGGGGCGAGGAGAAUCGGCCAAGACCCGCCCCUGUGCCCACCACAGCCUCGAGGCCCACAGUUACUUUCAAGGUGCACGAAUUUGUGCACUGGGCCCCUAGUACACUGAUAAAAGCACACCACAACCACUUGCCAAUUUAUUGAACUAUUCAACUUCUGCUCGUUUCCCAUCUUUUAGCACUUGGUCUGUUUGCUGUGCCUUUGUUCCCUUUCUUUCCGGGAUUGUGAUUGGGGGUACAUGUUAGCACUGGGCCAUCAUCUUCCUUCUGCUCUGGGAGAGUGAUCCACCCAGCAAAUCCGUGGAGUAAGGGCUCUCUGUUAUCUGGUUUUGCCCUUAUUACCUGCUUCUUUUUUAAAAUAUGGAAUGCUUCAUGAAUUUGCAUGUCAUUGCGCAGGAGCCAUGCUACACUUCUCUGUAUCGUUCCAAUUUUAGUAUAUGUGCUGCUGGAGCGAGCACAUUGCCUGCUUCUUAAGAUGGUUUGGAGGCAGGAACUGUGGGAUCCUUGAAUUCCAUCCCUCCAGCUGUCAGGAGUCUACCCCUAUGUUGGCUUAGGAUUUGGCUACGGUGUGUGUGAAGCUCUUCGGAAGGUGUUUAUCUCAAAGCAAAGAUCAUGCCCAGCAGGGUGAGGGAGGGAGGCCAGACUUCCACAGCUGGCCCUCCCCCUAAAUUGCAGCGUGAUCUCUGGCAGCAUUUAAGCCUGCCCUGGCCUCCAUGUUCCUAGAUGCAAAAUGGUAGUAAUUCCUCCUUUCCUUGUCUGAGAUGCCAUGAGGAUUAAGUGGGAAUGCGUAGAGGGGUUUUAUAACCGUCAAGUGCUGCAUAAAUGUUGAUGGUAUAACCAAUCCAAUCAGAGUCUCAGUGCUGGACCAAGCUCAGAGAACACCAAAGCUGGCAUUCCUGAGGAGGUCAAGUUCUCCCAAUGGCCAUCAGCACAGAGAAAGACAUGGGGUGGUAGGGGCAGGUGCAUUGGUCACAAUCACUGAUGCGAAUGAUUCCUCCAGCUUGAAACCCGAUACUUGGGGAUCAGCAGCCACUGCGCCCUGUCCCUGUCCCUUGAUCAGGAGGGCGUGGGGCAAGCAGACCUCCUCCUCAGAAGGUGCAGUGGGGGGGCCAGUGGAGCCCUAAUUUUAGGCCUUACAUCACAGCUUGUGUUUUUUCCCAUACUACCUACGAGAUGAGUUGGACAGUCCUGGGUUCAAACGCAGCCUGAUUGGGCUCCUGCUCUUGCCAUAGACGCCAUCCCCCUGUGUGCCAGUCUUACCUUCACCCAGGGACUGGUUCUACUUGCCUCCUAGGGUGAAGGGGAGAGUGGAAGGAAAGGGUGCGGAGGGUCCAGCACAGACUGGGUGCCCCAAGCAUGAGUCUUGUUAGAUUUGGGGGAGGCGAGGCUGUAGGACUUACCACACCACACUGGGUUCAUCAGAGUGCUGCCCCUCUCUUGUAGGUCAGAGGGCAGUCCUGUGCCAUCUUCCCCAGGCCCAGUGGCCACCAGCAGGUGCCAGCCAGGCUCGCAGCUGUCAUGCUUCUGACCAUAUUUGAGCAAGAAUCUUUGGUCGCUAUUAAUAACCACAGAGGCAGGAUGGGGAGGUGGCUCCUAUAAAGCCGGGUCUGCCAGCCCCAGCGGCUCCUUCAGCCCUUGAGACCUUUACCCCCUCCCUGUUGUGAGAGAAAAAGAAAAGUUUCACAUCUGAGUGAGAUCAUGUGAUGCUUGUCCUUCUCUGACUGGCUUAUUUCACUUAACACGAUACCCUCCAGGUCCCUCCAUGCUGUCUCAAGGGUGCUUCUAUAUUGUGCAGCAGAGGGCGAACCCAGCGGCUUGGAGGACCCAAACCCUUACAUUGGAAGGAAAGAGCUGGCUCUUGGUACGCGUGGGAGAUCACCUAUAAGCUGAGAAUCGUCCUGCCUGGUAAGAGUGUCUUAGGUGACCUGGGCCUCAAAGCCUGCCGUGCCGUCUGUGCUAACGGUGUGGCUUAGGGUGGGGGCCUUGAGCCACGUAAUGUCAAUGUGAUCUCUGGAGUCGCUGAAGACCGAGUAGGUUCGGCCACCUGGUGCUCCGUUCCCGUGUGGCUGAGCUUGCUGGGAGAAUCAGGGCUUUGGGCACAACCGGGAGGGGCUCACUGGAAGCUCAUUUCCGGUUUCUCCUAGACUCCCGUGUGCACCCGUUUCCUUUGCCAAUUUUAAUCUUCAUCCGUUCGCAGUAAGAAAGCGGAACCAUGGGUAUAGCAGCUUUUCUGAGUCCUGUGAGUCCUUUUGGUAAAUCAUCGAUCCCAAGGCGGGGUUUCACGUGUUGGUUCAUUGAAUGAUUGGCCAGGAGUAGGUCAGACCCUCUUGGCAUCCUAAUGGCUCCCCCACAAGUUCUGGAGUGAACGGAGCUGGGUUCCCUCCUGGGGAGGGUGGUGGGCUAGUGACCUUGCUGUGUGAGUCUGGGUGAGUUCCUGGACCUUUCUGAGCCUCAGUUUACUCAUCCCUGAAAUGUACACAAUGACACCAGCGUCUCGGGGUUAAAAGUUAAAAGGUAUCCACCAUUCACUAUGGGAGAGCUGAUUAUUAUUUCUCUCGUGUUUGUCGCUUAAUAACAAUACCUGUGAUUGAAAAGUGUUUAAAUUAAUACUACCUAUUUAGCAUAGAGAAGUUGGGAAACGCUGAUUAAAAAUACAAGACACAGCCACGCGGGAUCUGGACACAGGGUGCAGCCUCACCUGAUGAAGGGGCGGGAGAUGGCCAGCACAGUGCGGAUGAACCAGGACGGGUGGACGAUGAUUAAGGACUUCAGGUUCUUCCGUAACCUGCGUGGGAAGGCAGAAGCAGCAGGAUGGGCUCCGGGGGCAGGCCCUGGGGAGGGAGGGCUGCCUCCUCCGCCCCCCCGGGGGCAGCACCACGUAACACGGAGAAGGCAGAGGCUCUGAAAGCUAAGCCCCUUGGCGGAGUUUGCAGGUGGCGGAGCUGUCUCUCUCCUACAUUAGAGUCUGAGCAAUUUUCCUUUGUCACGCUGAAUUGCAUUCCCCCGUCUCGCCCCAAACCCAUAACUCCUGGGUCCCGAGAAGGGGACACUAUUUGGAAAACAGGGUCUUUGCAGACGUAACGCUUUCAGGUGAGGUCAGACCAGAGCAGGGUGGGCCUCUAAUACAUGACGCGUGGCGUCCUUGUGAAAAGAGGAAAUUGAAGACACAGACGCACGCUCAGGGAGGUGCCAUGUGGAGGUGAAGGCAGAGCUGGGGUGAUGCAUCUACAAACCAGGGGGCACCAAGGCUUGCCGGCGACCACUAGAAGCUGGGGGAGCACGGAGCAGAUGCUGCCUCAGGGCCCCAGGGUCUCCCUCUGGAACCAGCCCUGCUCGGGGUCCCCUUGCACCGGAGGCAGGCCCCGCCCCCCCCCUCACCUUCUGUCGAUCAUCUGGUAGCACUUCUUCAGCCAGCUGAUGCCCGGCAUCCUCCGCCGGGGGGUGGCACCAUUCAGGUACACGAUCAUGUAAUCCUCUGCCACCAGGAGUUCCAAACUGCUGAUGACGUACCUGGUCACAGGGCACGGAGGACAGGGGACCCAGUGAGAGCGAUCCUGAGUUAGAAAGCCCCAGUUCCUGGGACUGGACACCUGUGGCACCUGCUCCCUUUGCCACCCCCUGCCCCAGCUGUGCCAGCCACACCUGUGCAGGAACUGUUGGCUGUCCCAGUGUUACACUCCAGGGGGUGUGUGUGGAUGUGAUUAACCCCAGCCCACCCCAAAUUUGUGUCCGUGAGUAUAAUGAUUAUAGUAGUUACUAUUUAAUUGAGCACUUACUAUGUGCCAUGCUUUAUAUGCAUGACUUCACUUACUAUCUCCACUAAUUCUGGGGAUGGGUCUCAAUAGCCCCAGAUAUAGCUGGGGAACAGGCACCCACCGUAGGUAACUCACGGCACCAGAUGUUAGGGACCUGGGGUCCCUCCUGGCUCUAUCUCUCUCUGAGGGAUUUCAGAAAAAUCCUUUCUGCUCUCGUAGCCUCUCCUUUCUGAUUUGUAAUUGGGUUCCCUGGUCUCUCAGGCCACUUCCCAUUCUGACCUCCCACAGGUACCUCCUCAUCCUCCAGCCCACCUGGCACCCAAGCCCUGCUGUGUAAGAAGGGAAUCUUCAUAAUAACGAUAGUGAGUGAUCAUGACUUAUAGAGCUCUUACUGCCAUCUGCCCGGUGCUUCAUAUGUAUUAUCUGGCUCCGUAGCAACAGAACGCUACCUGUGUGUCCUUGGGCAAGUGACUUACUGUCUGUGCCUCGGACUCUGCCCCUGUCGAAGGGGAGGCGCCCACCCCACAGGGUUAUGGGGAGGAUGGAGUGCGUCAUCAGGGACGCAGCACGCAGCCUCGUGGCUGCCGCAUAGCGAAUACUCAAUACAUGACAGCGACGCUGACGAUCAUGAUUGCACCGAUGAGGCCCAGUGGGUGAGCAGGGAACUCAGAUCCAGGUCUGCUGGUGGCCCAGCCCCUGCCUGGUGCCAGGCAGAGCCCCCUCCCAAUGUGGUUCGCACAGCCUGGUCCAGCCCACUGCCGGGCCCUCAGGAAUGUCGGGGGGUGGCGGGGGGGGGGGUGUGUGCAGCCGGCGGCCACUUACAGGAAGAGGUGCUCCAUGAGGUAGUGGUAGUCGGGAGAGCUGCUGUCUGGGAGGAAGCAGGCGGCAAAGACGAUGAUGGCACUGAGGCCCUCACCAUAGUACCCUGGGGAGAGGCCGCCAGUGAGUGUCCGGGCAGAGCCCUCGCUGAGCUCUAAGCUCUGAGCCGCCCCAGCCCCUGACCUGUCCUGCCUUUGGUAGGGAACGCCAGCCAUCCUCCUAGGCACCCCCUAUGUGCACCCGGCAUCCAGGGCUCAUCCUCAUGCACGUUUCACCCCCACCCAACCAGAGACGAGAGUGUAGCAUCCCCGUGGCCCCU